CUUUACCUUUCUAUCUCUGUGCAUCUGGCAUCAAGUUUUGGUAGUUGUGUUAUUUGGAUGAAAUCACUGCUAUGUCUUUCCUUAACACACCAACUGCCUACCUGGAUAAUAUUUGGUUUACUGCUGGGAUUCUGUCCUCCUUCAGAAGAGCUUCCCUUUCCCUCUUUCUUCAACUGCUACUGCCUAAAGAGGCAUUGUGAAGACUGAAAAAAUACCAACUCCAAAUCUGACCACUUUCAGCGUAACAAAUUCCUUAGACCUGCCUGUCAAGGUUCGAUAUUAACUCCUUUUCGUUAUACGACAGUUGGUAGCAAGGCGGAGAGCUGACUUAGAGCUUCUGCCUGCCAGUCAGAUGCUGUAGAUGGAUGACUCCACGUGCAAGAUGAAGGACCUUAUGGCAGGAUCAAGUGUGCAUGUUCACUUUGCCACGUGUCAACUCCAAUUACAGAAUGCUACCUCCCAACAUUUUAAAACAUGCAGUCCCUCCUAAAAGUACAUGGAGUAUUUUUUAAUUGCAGGAAAACUCUGUGUUUUAAUUUUUUAUAAAGCUAAGCAUAAAAAAAUUAAGUGAAAACUUUUAAUGGGUAUAGCUUGAAAUUUAAGAUUCGUAGUGUUGCUGCAGCACAAUUGACUCCAAGCUCUAACCUGUAAAUUGGCACAAGUUUCACUGUGCAAUAAUUUAAUUUCAAUUAUCAGCUUCUUAGACUCAACAUAAGGUGAUUAUUCCUUUCUUUGGCCAGGCAAUGAAGUUCUUGAAUAUUAUACAGCACAGACUUGAAUCAAAUUCUGAAAUCUUUAGAGUCCAAGAAAGUGCUUCUAGUGCCCCUCACUGACACGAGUGGUGUUGGGAGGCAGCUCUUUUAUUAUAAAUGAGACCGGUAGGACGUUGGAGCUGGUUGCUCAGAGAGGUGGUAGAUGCCCCAUUCCUGGAACCAUCUAAGGCCAGGUUUGGAGCACUGAGCAGUCUGACUGCUCAUCUACUUGACAGAUGACGGGUUCGAGGUCAAGACAAAAUGAGCUUUAAAGGUCCCUUCCAUCCUAAACAAUUCUGUGAUUCAGUGAAAUGGUAGAAUUCUUUUUUUUUAUCCAGAAAUAGACAAUGGGCUAAGUUAAAAUGUGUUUGAUAGUGAAUAUGGAGUGGGAAGAAGGUUCUGGAAGCACAAUACUAUGGAGUCAGAUUGAUCAGGUUGGAUACAGUCCACUAAGACUGAACAUUUUUUUGUUGCAUGUACUCUGGCAACAGUCUAUAAGCACUAAGGGAACCCAUACUGCAGAAGACCCCGUGAACUCAGUGUUAAUAGCAUCCUUGUGCAGUAGGAUUUCAAGUUCCGCUUUUGAAUUAGGGAUUUGGACACACUUAUGCAACCCUAUAAGCACCAACUUUCAGGGUUUAUCACUUGUCAGUGCACUUGUUCAUAACACCAGCUGCAGGAAGCAGUUUAUUUUCAGCCAGACUUGAGGCAAACAGACUGUCUGAACAGAAUGUACUUCCUUAUAAGCUUAUUUGUCUGUGGUUUGUUUCUAUUAGUUUAUAUUGCUUCCUGAUGAGCUGAUUUCUGUGGCUCAUUCCUUAAGUUGGCUCACAGGUUAGAGGAAAGAGCCUUUGAAGGUAUACUCAGAGAUGGCUGCUUCUAAGUGGCAGAAGCCUGAGAUGCUGCACUGCUUUGUGUUAAAAUGCCCCUGGGACUCAAACUUUUGCACCAGCAGUAAAUGAGUUGUUCUUCCAUUCCAUACAGUGUCAUGGUCAGCAGUAAAACUGGGGGAGAUUGGCCUGGGGGUGGCAGCCCAUUGCUCAGGAACUGGCUGUGCAUUGGUCAGCAAGUGGUAGGCAACUGGACUCUGCAUUACUUGUUUUUGUACAUUCUUCUAUAAUAAUUAUUAUUUUCCUUUUCUGUCCCAUGAAAAUGUCUGCAUCUCAACCCACAAACUUCAUUUUUUUUCCUGAUUCUCUCCCCGAUUCCACAUGGUGGGGACUGAACAAACAUCUGGAUGGUUCUCAGCUGCCUCCUGGGUAAAGCCACAACAGCAAUCUAAGACCUUCCUUUUUCUGGUCUUAUAAUUACUUUGUCAAGCCCAGGGGCCUCUCCCUUCUCUAGUGGAUUUAUUUCAUCCUUUUGCAGAAUCAUAGAUGCAUACUAGUAUGAGGGUUUCAUGCUCUCAGCUCAGUUUUAGCUAAUGGAUUUCUUAUAGGUAUGUGAAAAACUGGCUAUCAGUCAUUGUAUCACAUCUAACUUUCUGAUCAUUGCUGAUGGUAUACAUUACUCUCUUACAUAAAAUAAGACUCCUAAGCAAUAUUUCUAAAGCUAUGAAUUAUGCCGGCAGUGCUUCUCAGAAUUUACUGCAGAAGAAUUUUAGGUAGUUGAGACUCCAUCAAAUAUAAGAUUGAUUUUUUUUAAUUAUUAUUUUUUAAUUGCUGGCUGGUAAAAAUCACUUUGGAAAAGGCCCAAAUGACAAAAAACCAACAAUAAUUACUUAAAGCUCCUAGUCCCAAACUGGAGGCAAUAUCUUCUUACAAUGUUUCCAACAUUUUCAAGAAAAAAACCCCAACCACUAGAUCUAAUGUCACAGUCUCUGUGUACAAAGGGUAUUUUUACUUAGUGAACUGUCCGCUAUAGCAUGAGAACCAUCUGCAAGCACAAAACAAAACAAAAAACCCCCACAAAACUGUCAAAAUUCAUUAAGAAUAGGAUUAUUUUAAAUUAAUAAAAGUAAUCUUCAUUUUUCCCACCACCCAUUUGCACUUUUGAAAUUAAGAGCAAAGGUGUCUUUGAAAUGAAAGCUCUUCUGUUUGAAAAUGAAUAUUUUUAUGAGGAAUAUUCUGCAUAGUAAAAAAUAGUCACCAAAACCACUAACCACAAUGCCUCAGUGUACUGCCACAAGUGUCAAAAUUGGGUUUGGCUGGGAUUAAAAUAAUUUUCUUCACAGUAGCUAGUAUGGAGUUAUAUUUUGGAUUUGUCCUGGAAACAGUGUUGAUAACAGAGAUGUUUUUGUUACGGCUGAGCAGUGCUGACACUGUAUAAUAUCAUUUCGUUUGGAAAAGACAUUGAAGAUUAUUAAGCAACCUGUAAACCUAGCAUUGCCAAAUCCACCACUGGCCCAUGUCCCUCAGUGCCACCACAUCUACACUUUGUCUUUGUAAUGCCUCCAGGGAUGGUGAUUCAAUCACUUCCCUGGGCAGCCUGUUCCAGUAUUGAAUAACAUUUUGUUGAAGGAAUUUUCCCUAAUAUCCAGUCUAAACCUUCCCUGGUGCAACUUGGGGCCAUUUCCUCUUGUCCUGUCACUUGUUACCUAGGAUAAGAUGUCCUUCUUGAGCCUCCUGUUAUUCCAGGCUGGGCAACCCCAGCCCCCUCAGCUGCUCCACAUAAAACUUGUGCUUUAGCUCCUUAACCAGCUUCAUUUCCCUUCUAUGGACAUGCUUGAGCACCUCAAUGUCGUUCUCGUAGUGAGGGGCCCAAAACUGAACACAGGAUUUGAGAUGUGGGUUCACCAGGGACGAGUAUAGCAGGACGGUCACUUAGUUGGUCCUGUUGGCCACGCUAUUUCUGAUAUAGGCCAGGAUGCCUUUGGCGUUCUUGGCCACCUGGGCACCGCUGGCUCAUGUCCAGCUGCUAUCAACCCACAUCCCCAGGUCCUUCUCCACUGGGCAGUUUUCCAGCUAUUCUGUCCCCAGCCUGUAGCCCUGCAUGGGGUUAUUGUGACAGAGGUGCAGGACCUGGUACUUCAUCUUGUUGAACCUCAUACUGUUGUCCUUGGCCUGUUAUCCAGCCUAUCCAGAUUCCUCUCCAGAGCAUUCCCACCCUCCAUCAGAUCAAUCCUCCUUCCCAGCCUGGUGCCAUCUGCAAACUGAUGACACCCUCACAGAGAUCAUGGAUAAAGACAUUAACAGAAUUGGCCUAAGCACUGGGGAGCACCACUGGUGACCGGCACCAGGUGGAUGUAACUCCUGUCACUACCCCUCUCUAGACCCAACCACCCAGACAGUUUUUUUACCAAGUCUGCUGUCUAAGCCACAAGUAGCCAGUUUCUCCAUGAGAAUGCUGUUGCAAAUGAUGUCACAGUCUUUAGUAAAGUCUAGGCAGAAAACAUCCACAGCCUUUCCGUCAUCUUCUAGUCAUGUUACACUGUCAUAUACAGAGAUCCAGUUUGUCAACCUGCCUUUUACAAACCCACAAUGGCUGGGCCCGUUCCCCUGUGUGCCAUGUGAUGGUACUCAGGAUGAUCUGCUCCAGGACCUUCCCUGGCACUGAGGUCAGGCUGACAGGCAUGUAAUUCUCUGGAUCCUCCUUCUAACCCUUUUUGUAGAUGAGUGUUGCAUUUGCUAACUUCCUGUCACCUGGGACCUUCCUGGUUAGCCAAGGCUGCUGCUAGUAAAUAAUGCCAGGGUUCUUGUGUUCAAUCCCCAUAUGGGCCAUUCACUUAAAGAGUUGAUGAUCCUUCUGCAUGCCUUCCAACUCAGACUACUGCGUGAUUCUGUAAAUGAUGGGAAGUGGUUAGUGAGCUCUCCUGGGAUUCCUUGGGUGCAUCACAUCCGGCCCCACAGACAUGUGCUGAUGUCAUGUUCAGCAGAUAAGGCAGGGAGAAGACAGAAGAGGGGGGAUGCUCAGAGUGAAGGAGUUUGUUCUCCCAAAUUACCACAAGCAUGAUGGAGUCCUGCUCUCCUGGGGAUGGCUGAACACUUGCCUGCUAAUGGGAAGUAGUGAAUGCUUUCCUGGUUUUGGUGAACUUGUGUGCAUGACUUUUGCUUGACCUGUUAAACUGUCUUUAUCUCAACCCACAAGUUUUCUUGAUUUUCCUCUUCUGAUUCUCUCCCCCAUCCCACUGCAGGGAGGGAGCA